CCUACGGGUGGCAGCAACUGGGAAUAUUGCGCAAUGGACGAAAGUCUGACGCAGCGACACCGCGUGUGGGAAGAAGCUUUUCGGAGUGUAAACCACUGUGGCAGGGGAACAAAUUUUGAGCGUACCCUGCUAGAAAGCACCUGCUAACUACGUGCCAGAAGCCUCGGUAAUACGUAGGGUGCAAGCAUUAUCCGGAUUUACUGGGCGUAAAGCGUCCGUCGGCGGUUGAUUAAGUUUUGUCUUUAAUACUGGGGCUUAACCCCAGAUACAGGAUAAAAAACUAAUCAACUAGAGUUUACUAUGGGGAGCUGGAAUUCUCGGUGGAGGGGUGAAAUCCGUAGAUAUCGAGAGGAACACCAUUCGCGAAGGCGGGCUCCUGGAGUAUAACUGACGCUCAGGGACGAAAGCUUGGGUAGCAAAUG
rnacentral:rRNA from 1 species